rnacentral:rRNA from 1 species
UACGAGAGGCCCAAACGUUAUUCGGAUUUACUGGGCUUAAAGAGUUCGUAGGCGGUUCGGUAAGUGAGGUGUGAAAGCCCUCGGCUCAACCGAGGAAUUGCGCUUCAAACUGCCGGGCUCGAGGGAGAUAGAGGUGAGCAGAACUGAUGGUGGAGCGGUGAAAUGCGUUGAUAUCAUCAGGAAUACCGGAGGCGAAGGCGGCUCACUGGGGGUUAUCUGACGCUGAGGAACGAAAGCCAGGGGAGCAAACGGG